CAUGCUGAAAAUACCUCCACAAAACCUUUUUUUCUCUUUUUCAUUUGGGGGAGUUUUUUGGCUAUUUACAUUUUCAUCUGUGUGAAUAUUCCCUGCAGAAAAUGUGGGCUCUGUUACAAGAAGGGUGCAUGACUGGUGAAGAGGCCAGCAAACUCAAUCCCUGCACAGCCUGGGAAGAGGGUUGGAGAGGACUGCACCUUCGCGUGGGGCCAGAGACCAUUGAAGUAAAGGAUUUAAUACAACAUCAGCCAGGAUAAGUACUACUGGGUACCUUGAUGUCGGACUUAACCUAAAGGUUGUGAGAACAUCCAGUGAAAUGGAGACGGGAACUUGGUGUUCGAAGGUCAAGUUCGCUGACAACUUCACAAAGAUGUUUCUACAUUUCUUUUUGCCCAAGAUACCAACAUUAUACUUUUGAGGAAACAGUUUUGGAAAAUGGCUCUCUGGAGCACUACUAUGCUUCUCUGUGCUUUGGAGUGUAGCAAGGCAGAGCUCACAUCUCAUUUCAGGCAGUGUUUUUCUCAUAAGAGA